GGGCCCAUAGCUCAACUGGUUAGAGCUUCCGGCUCAUAACCGGGCGGUUCCAGGUUCAAGUCCUGGUGGGCCCACCA
rnacentral:tRNA from 1 species